rnacentral:lncRNA from 1 species
GAAAAGGAAGUUUAGUAAAUAUGAAUAGGAGCGAAAGCGGAGCUACCGAUGAAUUGAAAGGAUCUAAUAUCGAUAAGAGACGAGAAGAAAGAUGUGGAUCGGAUGUGUGUAUGUGAGUGUGUGUGUUUGCUUAUAUAUAAUAAAUAUUUCUUUUCUGUUCAAAUUUUUGUGUCGUAGUUUGGAUUUUAAAAUUUACAUUUUCUAAUUUUAAUCGUAAAUAUGAAUAGGAGCGAAGGCGAAGCUAUCGGUGAAUGAAAAGGAAGUUUAGUAAAUAUGAAUAAGAGCGAAGGCGGAGCUACCGAUGAAUUGAAAGGAUCUAAUAUCGAUAAGAGACGAGAAGAAAGAUGUGGAUGUGUGUAUGUGAGCGUGUGUGUUUGCUUAUAUAUAAUAAAUAUUCCUUUUCUGUUCAAAUUUAAGUGUCGUAGUUUGGAUUUUAAAAGUUACAUUUUCUAAUUUUAAUCGUAAAUAUGAAUAGGAGCGAAGACGGAACUACCGAUGAAUUGAAAGGAUCUAAUAUCGAUAAGAGAUGAGCAGGAAGAUGCGAAUGUGUGCAUGUGAUUGUGCGUUUUUGCUUAUAUAUAAAAGUAUUUUCUUUUAGUUUGAAUUUAUGUGUCAUAGUUUGAGUUUUCAAAAGUUAUACUUUUUAAUUUUAAUCGUAAAUAUGAAUAGAAGUGGAGACGAAGUUAUCGAUAAAUGAAAAGAAUCAAAUAUCGAAAAGAGAUGAGAAGAAAGAUGUGGAAGUGUGUAUGUGAGUGUGCAUUUUUGUUUAUACAUAAAAAAUUCUCUUUCUGUACGAAUUUAUAUGGCAUAAUUUGAGUUUUAAAAGUUACAUUUAUUAAUUUUAAUUGUAAAUAUGAAUAACAGCGGAGACGAAGCUACCGAUGAAUGGAAAGAAUCAAAUACCGAUAAAAGAUGAGAAGAAAGAUGUGGAUGUGUGUAUGUGAGUGUGUGUUUUUGCUUAUAUAUUAAAAUAUUCUCUUUUUGUUUUAAUUUAUGUGUCAUAGUUUGAGUUUUAAAAGUUACAUUCUUUUAAUUUGAAUCGUAAAUAUUAAUAGGGGCGAAGGCGAAGCUACUGAUGAAUGAAAAUAAUCAAAUAUCAAUAGAGAUGAGAAGAAAAAUGUCGG